UACGUAGGAUGCAAGCGUUGCCCGGAAUUACUGGGCGUAAAGAGCUCGUAGGCGGGGGCGUGCGUCCGGGAAGAAAUCUCAAGGCUCAACCUUGGGGCUAUCUCGGAUACGGCGCUUCUUGAGGGUGAGAGAGGAAAGCGGAAUUCCAGGUGUAGCGGUGAAAUGCGUAGAUAUCUGGAGGAACACCAGCGGCGAAGGCGGCUUUCUGGCUCAUUCCUGACGCUGAGGAGCGAAAGCGUGGGUAGCGAACGGG
rnacentral:rRNA from 1 species